AGCGAACGCUGGCGGCAUGCCUGACACAUGCAAGUCGCACGGGGGGGCUUCGGCCUCCCAGUGGCGGACGGGUGAGGAACGCGUAGGGACCUGUCGAGGGGUGGGGGAUAACCGCGGGAAACUGCGGCUAAUACCGCAUGACGCCGCGGCGUGACAGCCGGGGCCAAAGGCGAAAGCCGCCCGCCGAGGGGCCUGCGUCCGAUUAGCUGGUUGGCGGGGUAGCGGCCCACCAAGGCGUCGAUCGGUAGCUGGUCUGAGAGGGUGAUCAGCCACACCGGGACUGAGACACGGCCCGGACUCCUACGGGAGGCAGCAGUGGGGAAUAUUGGACAAUGGGCGCAAGCCUGAUCCAGCAAUGCCGCGUGGGUGAAGAAGGUCUUCGGAUUGUAAAGCCCUUUCGGCGGGGACGAUGGUGACGGUACCCGCAGAAGAAGCCCCGGCUAACUUCGUG
rnacentral:rRNA from 1 species